ACUUAUUACUAAGUAAUAAUAAUAAUAAUAAUAAUAAUAAUAAACCCACAUACUCAUACGAUGAAAUUGUGGUAGAUGACUAGAGUCUUCCCCCCUAACAACAAUUACUAGAUUCUUCUUAUAAUAUUAUAAUUCAUUAGACUUAGUGGAAGCACACUAGCCUUAAGGUCUACAAGCCUAGCACUGUAUUGCAAUGAUGACUUCAAAAAAAACUUUUCCAUGAUUUAAUCUCCACCGCCCAUUCAAUUACAACUAGCCCCAUUCCCUCCCAAAAUUUCAUUUUCCCUCUCAACACCAUAGUUACAUAAACUAUCUCUCACAUUCUUCUCCAAUUAUUCAGAGAAGAUCAAGAUCAAGACCUUUAUCACGUCUAAUUACUAGAUAAUUAGUCAGAUUCUUGCUAAAUUGUUUCAUUUGAGUUUUUAAUUCACUUUGACAGUUUAUUAUACAAUCAGUAACAAAAUGCUUGUUGUUGCAACCUAAUUUAUUUCUGUAAUUUCACUACCAGGACCAAAACAAAUGAAGCCCAUCAAUCGUCCAACAAAAAACAUCGGAUUCGAUAAUGCACCAUUGUGGAAUCAUGUUACAGUGCUCACAACUACAGGAGGAGGUGGAAACAGAGUAUGGACAUGCAAGUAUUGUGGCAAGAAGGUAACUGGUUCUUACUCAAGACUUAAAGGACAUUUAUUAAAAAUUCCUAACCUAGGUGUUGAAGCUUGUAAAAUAAUUUCUGAUGAUGUUUACCGCCAAAUAAAGAAAGAAUAUGAUGAGGCAGAAGAACAAAAGGCAAAACAUGCACUUAAUGCAAAACAAUAAAGAGACUAUGUAUCACUUCCUGAAGGGUCUGACAUUAUACAACAUAAGAAAAGGAAAGGAAGUUUAGAAUACUCAUUUAAUGUCCUAGAGAGGGAGGAGGCAGAUAAAGAAUGUGCCAUGGCAUUUUACACAGGUGCUAUUCCUUUUAAUUUUGCAAGAAAUCCCUAUUUCAGAGCAUUUUGUCAAAGACUUGCUAAUGGUAAUUUAAGUGGAUAUGGACCUCCAACCCCUACAAGACUUAGUACUACUCUCUUAGCCCAACUAAAAGCACAUGUAGGAGAGUUAUUACAGCCUAUAAAAGAUUCAUGGAAGAAGAGGGGGGCUUCAAUUUGCUCUGAUGGCCAAUCAAGGCCAUUAAUCAACCUUAUGGUCGCUUCUGGUGCAGGGCCGAUGUUCAUGAAAGCUGUGGAUGCUAGUGAUGUUUUACAAAAAAGUGCAGACUAUAUUGCAGGUAUUUUUUUUUCAGAUCAUUGAAGAGAUUGGAGAUGAGAAGGUUGUGCAAAUUGUGACCGAUAAUGCUGCAAAUUACAAGGCAGCAGGUGGUAAGAUUGAAGAAAGAUUCCCUCAUAUAUUUUGGACUCCCUGUGCUGUUCAUUGUGUGAAUUUGGCCAUCAAAGCAAUCUGUGAGCCAAAUGAGAAAUCUUCUCACUAUGAAGAGUGCAAAUGGAUAAAAGACUUAGUUUCUCAGAAACCAGAUUUGCCUCUAACAUUGUGAUGGCCAUGCGACUUCGAAGGGUCAAAGAAGCACUUGAGAAGAUGGUUAUGGAUGUGGACUGGAAGAAUUUUAAAGUGACUGGAAAAUCUGCCACUGUAAUCCAAGCAAGGGAUAUCAAAGACUUGAUAGUCAGUGAUGGAUGGUGGGACAAAGUAGAUUAUUUCUUGAGUUUCACCGAGCCUUUGAUGAAGUUUUUAAGGGUAGCAGAUAUGGAUUCCAAUGUCCUACCGUAUGUUUAUGACAUGUGGGACACAACCAUACAAGAAGUGAAAAGAGUUAUAUUUGAGCAAGAGGAUAAAAACAUACUAACCGAUAGCUCAAACUUCUUCAAUGCAAUUCAUUAUGGAAUAAGAGCAACACUCCUUUGCAUUGUUUGGCUCACUCAUUAGUUCCUAAAUACUAUAGUGAGGGCUGGUUGCAAGCUUCAAGCAAUGGGGUACGUCGAGUAGCUCCUAAUGAAGAUGAAGAAGUGUCUAUAAAUAGAGAUUUGUGCUUUCGUAGAUUGUUUCCUAACCCGGAUGAUCUUAAAAAAGUGUACAAGGAGUAUGGAGCUUUUGCUUGUGGUUUGGAUUACUUUGGUCAAAUUCAUGUCAUGAAUGCAAGGAACGAAGAGGAGCCUCUGUCAUGGUGGGCCAAUUAUGGUGCUUCCACACCAUUACUCCAAGGGUUGGCUCUUAAAUUGCUUUCCCAACCAGCCUCAUCAUCAUGUUGCGAGAGGAAUUGGAGCACAUAUGGAACUAUUCAAACCACUAAGAGAAACAGAUUAACUUCUAGCAGACUUGAAGACUUGGUUUAUGUGCAUAUGAACCUCCGUUUGCUUGCUAGGAAGAAAAACGAGUAUCGUGAGGGGCCAAGCUCUUAUUGGGACAUAGGAGGAGAUGUCAUGGAUGUAGAUCACAUCUUGGAGCUGGUGGAAUUAUCUCUUAAUGAACCUGAGAUUGAAGCCAUGACGUUAGAGGUUUGAGUUGGAUGAAAGGAGGCUCAGGAUCCCUGGUGAUAUCUAAAUAAACUCCUUUAUUUUGGAUUGCUUUAGCACUGUUAGUGACUAAGUGUUAGUAUUUAGUAGCCUUUUUUGCUUUUGCAUGGCCAUGUUAGUUUGAUAGAUGUAUAGCUAAUGUACAUGGUAAAAUGCUUUUAUGUUGUGAGUUACAUAUCUAUUUAACUAUGUUCUGAUUGGUAUCAAUGUAAGAAAGUAGUUAGAAAUUAAGAAAUGUCAUCCAAUAUGUAAUAUGGGUGCAUAAAAAUCAGAAUAUGUAUUGAAAAUUAUGAAAACAGAAAAGUUGCAAACUGUAAAUUUUUUGAAUAUUAAUGAAAUAUUAAAUAUUUUGUAAUGUAUAAUUUUAUUGCAAAAAAUGAAAGUGCCGUGUCCCCGCACCCGUGUCCAAAUAUAGGACAGAGUCCCCGUGUCCUAAAAUUUUGGAAAUUGACGAAUCGGACACUCGGACACGUGUCCGUGUCCGACUCACGUACCCGAGUCCAUGUAACAUAGGGUGUAGUUAUAGUGAUGGAGGUUGCCGAAGACCAGGACAAUGAAGAACGCAAUUACCAGGGCAACGCGCAUGGGGGAGGCCUGCAAGCCUAUGGGUUGAGGGCGGUGUUUCAAGAAAAAAUCCGCCUAGGCCAAAUCUCACGGUUCAUGAUUGAGCAGUAUGGUGUAACCGGCCAAUACGUGGGGUAUGCUCCUGAAGAUGGGGACACUCCCACGACUCCACCUCCGGGGUUUACCGCUGUAUAUUGGGGUUUAAUGAAGCAGGGAAUGCGCUUUGCCCUUCAUCCUUUUGUCAGGACUUUGUUGCAGGAGUACAACUUAGCCAUUUGCAAUUUGACGCCUAACUCUUGGCUAAAAGUGUACUCUUUUUUGGUGGUUUGUACCAUGAUAGGGCAAACUCCCAACUUGAAGGCUUUGGAGAAACUUGUUCAAAUUGAUACCCUCCAAGGAUUUCGGUCCUGGCUGGUGGGCCUUUCGCAUCCGCAAUGGUUACAAAGUGGUGCACGACCAACAAUCAAACGUCAAACACUGGCGUGGCCUGUUUAUGUUUGUUUACUGUCGUACUUGGGACAUCCCAUUGAUCCCGAAUUUAGGGGAACCCAAUUUGAGUUUAAAUUUCGACGUUCCACCCAUGAACAGGAAGGAAGCUGUAGUUGCCCUUUUGUUGAAAACUAAGGGUCUCGUGGUCAAUGGCGACGCUGUUCAAUUACCCAUGAAUUGGAUACCCAACCGAGCCUUUCUAGAGGAUGAAAAGAAGCUUUGUACAAUUGGCCUUGACUUCCGCUCAAAGGGUAUGCUAGAGGGGGGUCUUCUGCACGCAUUAUAAUUAUAGGUAUCUUUGUGUUGCUGUUUUAACUUUUUCCUACUUCCGAGCAGGAUUCAUGGAUUCAGAAGCAUUGAAAACUCAGAAAGCCCUGCAAGCUGCCGCGGUGAGGAAGUUACUAAAGAACGGAACCAGGGAGAUACCUCCCCCACCCUUGGUAAGCUAUCUUUGUUGACUUUGAAUGCAUUUAAUGGUUUGAAUCUCACUGAUUUGUCAUUUUUGACCCAGGGGAAAGUUACCUCGGCCCCGGAUACCAGGGCAAAGCUCUAGUACGACUCCCGAAGAUUACCAAGCUCAGCCUUCAAGAAGGCAAUGAGUAAAAUUUUCAUUAGCGCCCAUCCAAGGGGCUCAUUAGCCCCAAAGGAAUUUCGAAUGAUAGCAUGCGCCCCAAGGAAGAUAGUAUGCGCAUGCUAUCUUCCUUGGCUUCAAAGUAAAAUUUUCAUUUCCAUUUUACCACUAAGCUACAAGUUUACCAUCAUCGC